GGAAUAAAAGUCGUAACAAGGUUUCCGUAGGUGAACCUGCGGAAGGAUCAUUAUUGUAUAACCGAGGUGCGAGGGCUGUCGCUGACCCGAAAGGUCGUGCACGCCCGAGUGCCCUCACACACAUCCAUCUCACCCCUAUGUGCACCACCGCGUGGGUCCCCCUUUGGCUUGUUCGGAGGGGGGCUUACGUCUUCACACAAACUUUGUAUGCAGUGUAGAAUGUAUUUUUUGUUUUUGCGAUCACGCAAUCAAUACAACUUUCAACAACGGAUCUCUUGGCUCUC
rnacentral:misc_RNA from 1 species